UCCCUGGUGGCUCAGUUGGUAAAGAGUCUGCCUGCAAUGCAGAAGACCCAGGUUUGAUCCCUGGGUUGGGAA
rnacentral:tRNA from 1 species